CACAUUCAGUGAUCUGACUGCAAAAACUUUGGGUUCUGAACUGUCAGCAACCUGCCCAUCUGCAUUUAGCAGGCAUCUAGAAAAGUGCCAUAUUGUUGAAGGGACAUCAAAGUUGGGACCGACACAAGAAGGAAGUCCUUUGCAGUAUCUGCGGCCACUUGUACCACAUGGCUAUCAAGCAUAUGUGUCACCCGAGAUUUUGUGUGUAAACACAACAGUAUCUGCUGUGCCAACACGGCCUGAACUUUUCAAGUCGUCGUGCAAGUGGCAGCCCUUAUCUAUGAGCGAUCCUGCUCAUAAAGCAUCUGUUCUUGAGAAGCUUCAAAUAUCUUGCGAAGAAGCUGUUAGUUCUGGAACAGAAUACAAGAAACCAGGCCCAAAGUGAUACCUGGAGGCAAGCUCGGCGGCUUCGUGUGACGGCUUCAUCAUUUGGCGUAGUUCAGCGACCCACAUGGACAGAGAAACGCCUGCACAACUUGGUCUUGGAGAGAGACUUGUCUCGUGUACAGGCAGUCCAAUAUGGUAUUGCCAAUGAACAAGCAGCUGUUUAUCGCUACAUUUCAACUAUGAGAACAAGAGGUCGUGACGUCGAAGCAUUCCAGAGUGGCCUGCUGGUUGACCCCUCAUAUCCCUGGUUGGGUGCAUCACAAGACCGCUUCAUUUUUGAUCCAGCAGAAACACAACUGCAUGGGUUACUUGAAGUGAAGUGCCCA